UAACUUGUGAUUUAGAAUGAGAUCAGCAUUUCUGUUGUUUCAGCUCUUUUCCUUCUCACCCUCAACUUUGUCAACUGAAAAAUAAUGAAUUACCCUCUUCUGGUGUGACCUGCAGACUUUUGUUCUGAAGCUGGAAGAGGAAAAGACAUUGAGUAAGAAGAGGGAGCACAAAUGGAUUUCCUAAUACAUGCAAUUCCCAGACCAACAGCCUCAGCUUUUGGCAAAGGAUGAAAUCAACAGUGCAUCUUUUUUUGGGUUCCCCAGCAGAAUGAGAGGGAAAGAAGCAGUUCUGGCAGGUAACUGGUGAAUCUAUCCCAUGUGUAAGAAAUACAUUACUGCUUCUAGAAGAAGGAUACCAAAGUGAUAGGCGCCUGAGAAACAUGAUAGAUUAGAUAGAUAGAAGAAAAUAAUAUAAACUAUGGAAAGCUAAGCAAUGAACGUGAAAACCUAUGAAAAAUCCCUAUCAGCAAUGCAAUGUAAUAUAUUACCAUAAUCCAAUAUUAUAUGGUAACCUCCAUAUGAGAACCUUGCACUCUGAGUAAUAAGUGCCGAAGGCUGAACAUUUAUCUUCUGACCUGUUCCCUAUUCAGAGUGAUCAGGGUUACCAGAUAUUUGGGACUCUGAGAAAAUUGUCCCUCUAUAGUAAUGAUUCCCUGCCGUGCAGCACAAAGGGGUUUCGUUUCCUUUCCCCUUUCUGUCUUGGAAAGGACAUAUCAAUGUUCUUUUUUUCUGUAGCCAGGAAACUGUGGCUACAGUAAGGUCUGAGUAUUACAGCAAGGCUUGAUCACCUAUUUCAAGAAGCCAUCAUCUGUUUCAAGAAGCAAUAUCUCCUCUCUACAGACCUGUCUGCCUCCUGACUACUUGGCUUGACUCUAUGACGGCUUUGUUGGUUUGUACUUGUGACAGUCUCCUUCAAAUUGCUCAUCACUGCUCCUAAAUGAGCUACUUCUUGUACUUCUAAAAUGAGAGACUCGAGUGAACUACUAGGCACAUCAAUUCAAACUGCUGGGAAUGCCACAAGUAGGAAGGAGGGAAUGGUGGAUCCCACCCCAGAAUGAAUUUAUCAGAGCAGAGCAGGAGAUGAAAAAAAGAAGAAAGAAAAAUAUGCUCAGGGUUAUUGAACAGCAGAGCUGCAGCUGAAGAAGGCAGCACCUGAAGAAAGCAGCACUAAAUGCACGAGAGAAGGCCUGGCUUGGCAGACUGGCUCUGUACCUGCCCUCAUGAAAUGGUCCCAGCACUGACCAGCUCUCAGUGGCUGUGUUUUCUUGUUUCCCAUGCUUUUGGAUUGUCCUGCUUGUUAGCCUAAUAAACAUUAUAUCAGGGGAAAAAA